AGACCCGAAACCCGGUGAUCUAGCCAUGGGCAGGUUGAAGGUUGGGUAACACUAACUGGAGGACCGAACCGACUAAUGUUGAAAAAUUAGCGGAUGACCUGUGGCUGGGGGUGAAAGGCCAAUCAAACCGGGAGAUAGCUGGUUCUCCCCGAAAGCUAUUUAGGUAGCGCCUCGUGAAUUCAUCUCCGGGGGUAGAGCACUGUUUCGGCUAGGGGGCCAUCCCGGCUUACCAACCCGAUGCAAACUGCGAAUACCGGAGAAUGUUAUCACGGGAGACACACGGCGGGUGCUAACGUCCGUCGUGAAGAGGGAAACAACCCAGACCGCCAGCUAAGGUCCCAAAGUCAUGGUUAAGUGGGAAACGAUGUGGGAAGGCCCAGACAGCCAGGAUGUUGGCUUAGAAGCAGCCAUCAUUUAAAGAAAGCGUAAUAGCUCACUGGUCGAGUCGGCCUGCGCGGAAGAUGUAACGGGGCUAAACCAUGCACCGAAGCUGCGGCAGCGACGCUGAUGCGUUGUUGGGUAGGGGAGCGUUCUGUAAGCCUGCGAAGGUGGCCUGUGAGGGUUGCUGGAGGUAUCAGAAGUGCGAAUGCUGACAUAAGUAACGAUAAAGCGGGUGAAAAGCCCGCUCGCCGGAAGACCAAGGGUUCCUGUCCAACGUUAAUCGGGGCAGGGUGAGUCGACCCCUAAGGCGAGGCCGAAAGGCGUAGUCGAUGGGAAACGGGUUAAUAUUCCCGUACUUGGUGUUACUGCGAAGGGGGGACGGAGAAGGCUAUGUUGGCCGGGCGACGGUUGUCCCGGUUUAAGCGUGUAGGUGUGUGUUCCAGGUAAAUCCGGUUCACUUUAACACUGAGGCGUGAUGACGAGGCACUACGGUGCUGAAGCAACAAAUGCCCUGCUUCCAGGAAAAGCCUCUAAGCAUCAGGUAACAUCAAAUCGUACCCCAAACCGACACAGGUGGUCAGGUAGAGAAUACCAAGGCGCUUGAGAGAACUCGGGUGAAGGAACUAGGCAAAAUGGUGCCGUAACUUCGGGAGAAGGCACGCUGACACGUAGGUGAAGUGAUUUACU
rnacentral:rRNA from 1 species